ACCUCUUCGGAGGUCAGCGGCGGACGGGUGAGUAACACGUGGGCAACCUGCCUGUAAGACUGGGAUAACACCGGGAAACCGGUGCUAAUACCGGAUAAUCCUUUUCCUCACAUGAGGGAAAGCUGAAAGACGGCGUAAGCUGUCACUUACAGAUGGGCCCGCGGCGCAUUAGCUAGUUGGUGAGGUAACGGCUCACCAAGGCGACGAUGCGUAGCCGACCUGAGAGGGUGAUCGGCCACACUGGGACUGAGACACGGCCCAGACUCCUACGGGAGGCAGCAGUAGGGAAUCUUCCGCAAUGGACGAAAGUCUGACGGAGCAACGCCGCGUGAGCGAAGAAGGCCUUCGGGUCGUAAAGCUCUGUUGUCAGGGAAGAACAAGUACCGGAGUAACUGCCGGUACCUUGACGGUACCUGACCAGAAAGCCACGGCUAACUACGUGCCAGCAGCCGCGGUAAUACGUAGGUGGCAAGCGUUGUCCGGAAUUAUUGGGCGUAAAGCGCGCGCAGGCGGUCCUUUAAGUCUGAUGUGAAAGCCCACGGCUCAACCGUGGAGGGUCAUUGGAAACU
rnacentral:rRNA from 1 species